UUUUUUAUGGGAAAGGAAAGUUUAUUUCUCUCUCCCUAAAUUAAAAGAAAAUAAAAGAACAAGAGAAACUCUAUAACUAUGUUAGUUAUGUUGAUUCAAGCACUUUUUCAAAUAUGACUGUUAUCUCUGCUACUCAGGUACCUGGGUGUAGGGCAGUUCAUUUUCUCUCUUACAUACAUAAAGAGAUGUGUUCCAUGCUACAGAGAAGUCGUGUGGAUCCUAAAAGCCUAUUUUGAGAUAGACAAGCCAGGAAUUUCACAGCAGGCUAGCACUCUCCUGGCUUCAUGUCCCAACAGAAUCUGAGAACACAGUCAUUUGUACAAGGUGACAGUAACCUCAUUGACAACAAAAGAGCAGAAACAAAACAAAGUGUUAGUCCAAGUAAUCUGGCUUUUACCUCAGCAGGAAGCAGGGCAGAGUUCAAAGCUUUAUCUAAAUUGUUGUUUUUCAGUGAAUUUCCAUCAGUUAGAAUCUUCUUGGUUUAAGUGACCAUGUUCCAUUCUCAAAAUACAUUCACAGAGCAGAUCAUGCUCUAAUCAAUGGCUUUUCCAAAUCUACCUGACAUUAACAGAUUAAAUCUACUGAUUACCCUGUGCCAGUUUCCCCCUUGGCAGCCAUAUACUAUCAUCCCUCUGUCCUGAUCUGAGAUCUCUGCUCAGAAAACACAUGGUGAAGGGCAUCUGUAAAUAACAAUGUGUGACUAGUGAUCUGCACAUAAUCAUAUUGUCUGGUGAAAAUAAAUUAUGAGAAAUAAUACAGAUUAUUUCAGCCAAAUACAGUUCUUAAUUGUAUUUAUAAUUUGACCACUUCAUGCACAUACAAAAUACAUCAAACUCAUAAUGAAAAGAAGCAGACAAUGCCCCCCAAAUAUACAAAGAAGCAUUUUAAAUAACAUUGUGUACAAGCACAUUUGUGCGUAUCCUUCCAAAACACAUUGUCACUCUUUCUCUUCUUCCACAGAUGUUAUAGCACUCUUUGAACAAGACCUUGUAGUUCUGAAUUCUCAUAGGAGUUGCAACCAAUGAAAGUAGCAAGGUGUGAGCUAGAAAUUUAAAUUUUAAAAGGUAACACAUGUAACCACUAAAGCGAUAGAGAGCUAAAAAUACACACUCAUAUUAAAUCAGAAGUCCUGAUUUGCAUAUCACAUGAUUUCCACCUGAAAUCUCGGAGAAUGAGACACAAAGUUAUAUUUAUUCCAUCAGGCUGAGAUGCUGUUAUUCCUUUCUAAUAGUCCAUUAAUGGUACUUUUGGCACUAGAUAUGAGCAAAUGAAUCAGAAAAAGUAAAAUAUAGCUCCUAUUACUGUUGAAAAGAGGUGGACUCCAUAGUUCAUCAGAAAACGGUUUUCAGUGGUAUUUUAACAGUUUUCCACCAAGCAUGCCAGUGAGGAUUGUAUAAGGGAUUAAGCACAAACUAGGGAUCCUUGUUCUGUGUAUGUUCUUUGCCACAGCCUUCAGUGCCAGUACUUUCCAUGUAAGUGUAAAGAAACAGAGGACCCCAACUGCAGCUAAGUUCCAUUAAACUGUCAUGGAAAAGUGAAUUUAUCCUGUCUCCUGUAUCAGAUCAAAGUCAGCAACUGUGUGAAUUUGUGCAAGGCUGCGGGCGGUGUCUGGUCCCAUCUCUUAGACAGGCAUUCUAGCUAAAAGAAGUUCAAACCCUCAGAUGCAUUAAUUUCCUUAACGCAACUGGCUGACAGAAAGUUAUUUGCCAUUAUACCGACAUAAGACAAAACCCUGUUUCGUCGUACUGAGGUUGCUGACGGUGAGCCCAUGGUCCCCUUUCAAACACCAGGACAGUCUCUGUCCCCAGAGCACAGGAAAGCUUGCUGGUUCUGACAGCAACUGCAAGAUCUUUUCAGGCACAGCCUGUUUGGAAAACACUGGGUUAGCACUGAUUGCUGCAUUUGUUAACACAGCAACCCUAGCAAAUCCAGACUGUUAAUUCUCACUAAGUCUAAAUACUGUUUCCUGAUUAGAAGUUGAAGCUCAACAUCAACCUUUUUGUGUCUGGUGAAACCCUUAUAUUUUCUUGGUGACAUCAAUAUCUGUAUCAGUGUGGCUAUUUCCCC
ensembl:lncRNA